GAUGAACGCUGGCGGCGUGCCUAAUACAUGCAAGUCGAGCGAACAGACGAGGAGCUUGCUCCUCUGACGUUAGCGGCGGACGGGUGAGUAACACGUGGAUAACCUACCUAUAAGACUGGGAUAACUUCGGGAAACCGGAGCUAAUACCGGAUAAUAUAUUGAACCGCAUGGUUCAAUAGUGAAAUACGGUUUUGCUGUCACUUAUAGAUGGAUCCGCGCCGCAUUAGCUAGUUGGUAAGGUAACGGCUUACCAAGGCGACGAUGCGUAGCCGACCUGAGAGAGUGAUCGGCCACACGGGAGCGUGGACACGCUCAAGGGUACUGCGGGAGGGAGCAGUAUGGAAUCUUCCGCAAUGGGCGAGAGCCUGGCGGAGCAACGCCGAGUCAGUGGUAAAAGUCUUCGGAGCGUAAAACUCUGUUAUUAGGGAUGAACAACUGUGUACGUAAAUAUGCACGUAUUGACGGUACCUAAUAAGGAAGCACCGGCUAACUACGUG
rnacentral:rRNA from 1 species